GAGCUUGUAGUUUAAAGGUAUAAAACACAAAUUUUCUAAAUUUAUGAUAUAAGUUAGAGGCUUAUCAGGCUUA
rfam:Theileria equi strain WA gcontig_1105316255047 apicoplast, whole genome shotgun sequence.